rnacentral:tRNA from 1 species
CGGGCUGUAGCGCAGCGGUAGCGCACCUGCUUUGGGAGCAGGGGGUCGUGGGUUCAAAUCCCACCAGCCCGA